rnacentral:lncRNA from 1 species
UGUUACAUAGAACCCCAAACCAGAAACAUAAAAAAACCAGAGAAACAUGGAUACGAAACCAAAUCUAAACCAAACACAUAGCAGAAGAAGCAGACAACCACAUCAUCUUUGAUUACCAGCCACCACCACCACCACCGCUGUUUCCUCCGUAACCACCGUCUCCUCCUCCGUAACCACCUCCAUCACGUCUUCCACCACCACCGUAUCCGCCGCCACCACCAGAUCCGUAACCACCUCCAUCACGUCUUCCAUAUCCACCACCGCCUCCUCCGUAACCACCG